CUACGGGACGCAGCAGUGGGGAAUAUUGGACAAUGGACCAAAAGUCUGAUCCAGCAAUUCUGUGUGCACGAUGACGGUUUUCGGAUUGUAAAGUGCUUUCAACAGGGAAGAAGUUCUGACGGUACCUGUAGAAGAAGCGACGGCUAAAUACGUGCCAGCAGCCGCGGUAAUACGUAUGUCGCAAGCGUUAUCCGGAUUUAUUGGGCAUAAAGGUCAUCUAGGCGGCUUAGUAAGUCUGAUGUGAAAAUGCGGGGCUCAACUCCGUAUUGCGUUGGAAACUACUAAGCUAGAGUAUUGGAGAGGUAGGCGGAACUACAUGUGUAGAGGUGAAAUUCGUAGAUAUAUGUAGGAAUGCCGAUGACGAAGGUAGCUUACUGGACAAUUACUGACGCUGAAGUGCGAAAGCUAGGGGAGCAAACAGGAUUAGAUACCCGAGUAGUC
rnacentral:rRNA from 1 species